rfam:Hordeum vulgare subsp. vulgare, WGS project CAJW01000000 data, contig: morex_contig_37556
UCAGUACUUCCUCCGUCCUAAAUUACUUGUCUUAGAUUUGUAUAGAUAUGGAUGUAUCUAGACAUGUUUUAGUGUUAGAUACAUUCGUAUAUUGAUAAAUCUAAGACAAGUAAUUUGGGGCGGAGGAAGUACAAU